rnacentral:rRNA from 1 species
CCCAGACUCCUACGGGAGGCAGCAGUGGGGAAUGUUGGGCAAUGGGCGCAAGCCUGACCCAGCAACGCCGCGUGAAGGAAGAAGGCUUUCGGGUUGUAAACUUCUUUUCUCAGGGACGAAGCAAGUGACGGUACCUGAGGAAUAAGCCACGGCUAACUACGUGCCAGCAGCCGCGGUAAUACGUAGGUGGCAAGCGUUAUCCGGAUUUACUGGGUGUAAAGGGCGUGUAGGCGGGGACGCAAGUCAGAUGUGAAAACCACGGGCUCAACCUGUGGCCUGCAUUUGAAACUGUGUUUCUUGAGUACUGGAGAGGCAGACGGAAUUCCUAGUGUAGCGGUGAAAUGCGUAGAUAUCAGGAGGAACACCGGUGGCGAAGGCGGCCUGCUGGACUGCAACUGACGUUGAGGCCCGAAAGCGUGGGGAGCAAACAGGAUUAGAUACCCGAGUAGA